rnacentral:misc_RNA from 1 species
GAUGAAGAACGUAGCGAAAUGCGAUACGUAAUGUGAAUUGCAGAAUUCAGUGAAUCAUCGAAUCUUUGAACGCAUAUUGCGCUCUUUGGUAUUCCGAAGAGCAUGCUUGUUUGAGUAUCAGUAAACACCUCAAAGCUUUUGGAUUUUUUAAUCGAAAAGCUUUGGACUUGAGCAAUCCCAACACCAAUCUUUUUGAGAUCGGUGGCGGGUUGCUUGAAAUGCAGGUGCAGCUGGACAUUCUCCUGAGCUAAAAGCAUAUUCAUUUAGUCCCGUCAAACGGAUUAUUACUUUUGCUGCAGCUAACAUAAAGGGAGUUUGACCGUAUUGGCUGACUGAUGCAGGAUGUCACAAGGGUCGGCAACGAUUCUUGUUAAACUCGAUCUCAAAUCAAGUAAGACUACCCGCUGAACUUAAGCAUAUCAAUAAGCGGAGGA